GUGGUGCAGUGGUACUUCAUGACUCUAAUCUCCAUCAGUGAAAAGGAAAAUUGUCAGCUUUCUAAGGGGGAUUCGUCGUACGCUCUGCAGUAUACUCCACCAUAUCCUUUUAUUUUUUGGUGUAGUCUUUUAUGUCUGAGAAAAUAUACUGUCAUGUUUUUGGUCAAGAGCUGGAAUAUCGGUCAGCUUCGCUGUCAUUUUUUUUCUUCCUUGAGUGUUAUUUGUCACUGCUACCUUUCAGCUUCCGUUUCGCAGGCAGGUCCCAAAGAGUAACUGUCAUCUUGUUGAACAUUUGUUGUGACCAAGAGGGCGCAUGGUUUCACCGCAGACCGCAGAAUGUUCAGCAGGUACCUAUCAAACUGAUGUUGAGAUUACUAGUCAGCAACUCUGAAUUCACCUCACCUGCUGCAAUCAUCAAAAGUCUGCCUCGUCAUAGAUGACUAAUUCCUUCAGUCCCCUGGCCAAUGCAAGUGACAGUACUACUAGUAGGAGCUGCGACUGGCACUGUAGCAGGUAAGCCGGCACGAAGCUGCAAAUGCAGAUUGCUGCAGGCAGUAGCUGUUAGCAGGAGGUCGUAAGUGAAUGGUUAACUCUGACUCGACACACUGCGAGAGUAACCAGCAAAGGCCUUAUUCCUUACCGGAGAAGAAUGGAACAGCGAUGGCCAAGACCGGAUAGGUUGUUACCACCGGGAACAUUUUUACCAAUGCACAUACAAAGUGUCAAAUGUGUCAUGGUCUCGUCACUCUUUUAUUCCAGUGAAACAGCAUCCUGUAUUCACACUGUCGUUGCAGUCGCGGGGUGUUAUUAUCAGUUGAAUUCAGUCAUUUCCCAAUCGUUUCAGCCGGAAGGGAAAAAAAAGAAAGCCAGCAAUACAGCCAUAUACUCACU